CAAGUAGCGAGGACAGUUCACAUUUACACUAAAAUGCAUCUCAAAUCUCAAUACAAAACUAGAAGAAAACUUUGCAAGGAAUAAUCAAAGAUAGAAACAUUAAAAGGAGAGUGAGUUGUGGGUGGGCUAUCCUGAGCCUGGAGUUCGUUAAGACCAAUUUUGCACUUUUCUUUUCUACUUCUGGGAAAGUAACAAGGAAAAGUUAAAAGACUGAUCUGGCACAUCCGCAAUGUAGGACGUCUUGGACCAAUUCGUUUGACAUCUAUACAAGUAAUAAAAUACAUAUAUUCUGAUUAAAAAAAAAAAGGAUAUGCAGUUAAUUGUUCUAGGUUGGUACUAGCUCAUCAGUUGAUGGACUUCAGAUGAGCAGAAAAACAACAGAUCAUAUGAGUAGAAGGUCAACAGGUAAUGUAUGCUAUUAUGUUGAUGGCUCUUUGCCCUAAGGCCAUUUAACCCUGCAGAUUCAAAUUUUACAAUCAUUAACUCAAGCUCUGAAAUGCAAUUGUCAUUCUAAAGCCAAGACAUACUCCUAACUAAAUCUUAGCUUUACCCUUGCAUGGAUUGAACUUGAUAAACUAAUCCUUGUAUAUAAUACACUAUGAUUUGAGUUUUCUAAGUGCCAAACUAUUUUUAAUAAAAUCUUAAACAAUAACCACUUGGAUAAGAGAUGAAUAAACCAUUCUUUC
rnacentral:lncRNA from 1 species